AUACAGUUUUCCUGACAGCAUUCAUACUAAGAAGCUCCUCUGCUUCAGCAAAUCUAAAUAAGCACCCUUUGGUCCAUUUAAUUGAUCCAAUUAGCUUCAUCUCAGGUGCACUGAUUACAUCUAUAGAGUGAAUGUCAUUCAGAGGUAAGGCUAACAUCCACGGCUGCUGCCUCCGGUUAAACUAUUUGGCCGUCUUACCAGUGACACUAAAAGUGUGUUUAGGUGAAUAAGAUGCACAUUUUAGAAUGCUUUAAUGAAUGCAGUGCACUCUUUGGGACACAUUUUGUGCUUGCAAGCACCUAAGUGAAUAAUCAUGAAGAAGCAUUUACUGAAUUUAAUUUCUCAAAACCCAGAUGAAGUCAAUAAAUGCUGCAAUUGAAUAACAAUAUUAUAUAUUACUUGCAGCAGCUGCUGAAUUAUUCAAGUAAACGUGUUAGUUUAUUUAGCUGGAUGUAUUUUCUGAAUCUCUGAACAUCCAGCUGCUCAUGUAUGAAGCAUGUGUGUCAAUCAUCCGCUGCCACUGGGUAUUUUUGUGUUUUGUUGGUCUUUCUUCUGCUAGACCAAGCACGGGUACGGAGAAGAUGGAGUUAAACACCUUUUAAGUUGACAGAACGUGGAGACAAAUGAUCAGAAGUCCAUUCACUGUUUCACCGCUCAUGAGGGGGAGAGUCUCUGCAGCAAGUCCCGCGACCUGCUCUUGCCAGAUGCUUCGGACAGACUCUCGCCGUUCUGCUGAAAACGGCUGAUUUUUAUUGAAGAUUACAGGAAUGUUACAUACGUAGUUUGCCAUACACACACGUAAUUCUGCCAUCUGCACCUGCAGACGCACGUCAGCUAAUAGCCUUGUUAAUGAAAGACCAAUUCAUCCCAAGGACAUGCAACCUUGAGAUGAUCAGGACACAUCCUGCAACAUCCUUUGCUAACAAAGACAGUUGUUCUUGUAUUGAGGAACUGAAGGAAGGAACGCUUUCACUCCCUUAUGCAGCUGUUCAGCUUGAGCAGAAAAGGCACAGAGAGGUCUUUGAUAUUAUAACAAGAUUCCAUGAAAAGGCAUAUAAUAAUGUAUUUAUGAUAAUAUAUAAGGGGCAAAAGUGAGAGAUACAUAUUUAAUCAUAUAAAAGAGCUUAUAAUAAUAUAUGAAAGAGCUUAUAUGAGAGAUAUAUAUUUUCAAUCCCCCUUUUGAACUCUUUUAAGAGUUCAAUAAAGAUAUAAGAAAUCAAAACAAUAACACCAAAUUCCAUCAAAAAGAAUCCAAUAAGCAAAGUUUUUAAAAUACCAAUACAAACAACCAAUCAGAUUACAUUUACUCAUCUUUCUAGCAGUAAACUAAUACAAAAAACAUGAUCAUACUUUCAACUGAACAUGUUACAACAUGUAUGGAUCGCAUGCAACUCCAUAUGAGGGCGAAAAACCCUAAUUAUCAUAUGUUUAUAGGGAAAAUUCCCUCAUGUCCCCCCAUUUGUCAUAUCUCAAUUUUGGGGCGAACGCCUGUUGGCAUAGAGUGUGCAUGCCUAGGACAUCAAUGAUCAACAAAAAAAUAAAAACAAAACAAUCAAAAAAUGCAUAGAAAUGAACUAGUGAAAGGGUCGUUACAUUAAUCACUGAACAUUCUCACACUCUAACAACAUCUUCUUCAUCAUGAGAGUCAUCACUUUCAUCAGAGGGUUCCCCUCCCAAAUAGAUUUUAGGAUUGGCUAGUAACAAGGGCAUCUGGAUAAUUGGGUCAGCAGGUGGAGGAGAGAUGGCAAUGGUAAUCGAUCUCUGGACUAGUUGCCUAAGACAGGGGAUACAGCAACAGCCGCAAGUAACAAGCUUAUUCAGGUGUUAAUUUAAGAAAUUGUAUGGGUUAUAGCUGCUGUAAUCAGUACCAGAGAACGCACUAUAUGCUAAAAUUGCUAUUGUUACCAAAUCUUCCAGGUCAGUGAAAUCGCAAAAGUAUCUGUCGUUCCACAACCCCAACCUGCUGUCCCUGUAUGCCAACCGGUUUAGUUUACUUGGAUACCAGACUAUUGGAAAGGAUUCUCGUUGAAUUAUGUUACCCUCAGAAUCUUCUUCCGGCCAGGACAAAUGAGUGAUCAGAAUGUACAUUAAGUUUGUAUAAAUGCAAUGAGCGCAAACAUAUAUCUAAUACUAAACAGGUAAAUGAGUAAUAAUAUAAAAUGAGUAGAGGGUAUAAAAUAUAACCCUUGUAAAAUAAAUGAGGGUGUGAAAUAGAACCCAGAUAAAAUAAAUGGAGGGUGUUAAAUAUAACCCUUGUAGAAUGUUCAUAGGGUGGUUACUUCUUCCCCCUGUUGAGGUCCCUCCACUGGCUCCAGGCAGCUGCAGGGGGUGAUGAUGUCACGAUUCUCGUCCUGCAGGAUGUGGUGGUAGCUUGGCACGCUACUGUAGUCAGCUACUUCUCUUCCUGGUUUUUGGAUCCUUUUUCUGGUUAGGCAGAUGUCAGCUGCUUCUCGUCCUGGUCCUUGGGUACUUUUUCUGGUCAGGCAGAUGUCGGCUGCUUCUCUUCCAGGUUAGGCUCCUCCCGUCCAGCCGGACAGCGUGUGAUGUCCUCUCCGUGAUCCUGUAUGGCCCGGUCCACCUUGGUUCCGUCCACUUCCUUUUGGUGACUUUUAGCAGGACCCAGACGCCUGGCACCGAAGGCGAAGCAUCUUCGUGUGUGUAGUUUUGGUCCAAUGAAGGCUUUCUCGGCUUGUGCAGUCCUUGAUCUCGGCAGAUAGUUGGUAGGAAGAUUCACACUCCGGCCGGACCAGAAGUUCCCCGGACCGAUCGCCUAGGGAUUAGAGGUUAUGCACAAAAAUGUCCUAGCUCUUACUGACCCUAGCCUCUGAUACCUUCAACAUCAGACACAUACAGUUACAAACAGCAAGCGCAAUUAAAGGUAUAGUGACAUCACGACAUGGACACACACAGACACACAAACACAUACACAUGCACAUACACAGAGAGAGAGGGAGAGAGUAAGAAUGUGUGUGGGAGAAAGAAAUGAGUGGGAUCCACUUUGCCACCAGCAUCUCCACCUGUGUCACAGAGAAAAAAUUGCAAAGAAAUUAAAACAUAAAGCAAACAACAAUAAUUCAAUGAGUAUAAAUGAUCAAACUAAAAUAUACAACCAUGCAUGGGUUUUAUAACAGUUCCGGCAACACUGGAGAGGAAGCCUUGUAUAAUGAAUUCUUAAGAUGUCCUUCAUCAAUUAGAGGUUAUAACCAAAUUGUUUCAGGAUCCUGAAUUUGAAUUUGAAUUGGUUAAUUUACUCAGAAUAGUCCAAUGUCUUUGUUGAUGUUUCUCAAGGCUCGGCCAUGCCCAUAUAGAUAAAUAAGCAAACAAACAAGACAAACACAGUCAAACACACGGUCCAUACACGUCUCUGUGCCCUCACACACCAAGCAAAUGUCAGACUGAAGCGAAAGUGUGAAAUACUUAACCUAACGCUAAAUCAGUGGAAAGAAAAAAUAAGACCUAAAGCGUGUAAUCAAAUUAAUCCAACAAAACUUCCCAUAACUGCUGUUCUAAACUCACGUUGCGAUGUGAUCUCUCCAAUUAGAAAUUAGGACAAUCACUUUACUAUCAAUUCAACCAAAAAGUUUCAGGUUGUCCCUUACCUAAACUACUUGUCUUUCUUACCUUCUUUAUUUUAUUUUUUUUAAGAACCUCACUUAGCACAAGAAAUCCUAAGAAUUAAUUCACUACUUAAGGUUAAUUUGUAAAUAACGAAACUGCAGUUACAGGUUUGUUUGUGCAUAGUAUUGGUAAUCAGCAGUUUUUUUUUUAUCUCCACAUCUAGAAGUGUGUUUCUGUGCUACUUCUCCAUCUAUAACACAAGUUAGUAUCAUCCUUAAAGCAUCUGAAAUUAAGCUGCAUUGCUAAAUCAAUAACGUGAUUUGUGCUAAGAAAUACUCCCCUAUCCUCUUCCUUUUUCCAGUGGCACUGAAUGACAGAUUUUAGAUCAAUUUAACGUUUUAUGACUAUUACGUUUCAUUUAAUUAAUUUUGCUUUUUCUCUCUUAUUUUUAUCUAUUUAUUUAUUUAUGUUAUUUAUUUAUUUAUCAUGCCAUCCUGCGAUGAUAAUCCUAAAGACUUGUUAGCCAAUUUGUCGUCAAAAAGGCCAAUUAAAAAUAUUAUGUUAAAGAUUUCACAAGAUAAAAAAUGUGAACAUAAUUUUUAUCGAAUGAGGGGUACCAUUUAUUCAAUAUCUUGUAACAUUAUUUUCUACCUCACUAUUGUCUCGGAUGAGAUGUUCCAUGAAUCAUUUAGUCAGCUGAAUGCCAAAUUAUUCAUUUAAUGUUUAUUUUUAUGCAAUGAAUGGAAUGGGAUGGAACGUUACUAUAAACUGUCCGGAAAUUUGCGCAUGUUUGCUCGAAGGAGAAAACUGUUGAAGCCUAAAGCGUUCUCCUAGACUUAUAAAUAGACACCGUUUCCUUAACUAAUGAAGAUAAGUGAUGACGCCGAUGAAUGACUUUUUGAAAAGAAAAUAAGGCUUUACUGCAUGUCCGCUGCAGCUGAGAAUCCUAAGACAAUAAAGAUUAUAUUGACGUCCAAUGAUGAGUUGGGCUGAAAUCCAGGUUACUAAUCCUAUUAUUUAUUUAUUUAUUGUUAUUAUUAUUAUCUUUUUUUUUUUUUUUUUUUUUUUUUUUAGGCUAACUUUCUCAGUUAACUAUGUUCUACAGUAGUUUAGUAAAUUUUCCACAGUUCUGACAUUUCAUCAAUUCAACUGGUUGUUGCCAAAAAGCCUUGUUCAUUACCUGACUGCAGCAAGCAAUCUUUUACUGGGUGUAACCAUAGGAAACAGUCUCUUUUGAGCCUCUCUUUGUAAGUCCAGGAUGACCACCGUCAUUGAUUGAAGUUCACAUGUUAGCACACAUGCUCCCCCUUUUGUACUUUGUUUCAUCAGCAGCAGGGCAAAUAAGUUUCUGCCUCUUUGUCCAUCUUGUAGUGCUCCCCGUCUUUAUGUUAUGAGUCACAGCUUUUGGUGAGGGCUUCCAGGUUCUCUUUGGUGAGGGCUUCCAGGUUCUCUUUGUAUAGAAGUCAGAGCCAAACAUUCUUUGCAGCUGGUUGUGACAGGCCCACCCAGUAAAGUUCAUGCCUGCCACAAUGCACAGCAAACGUUUUCCUUAAAUAUGUUGAUUGAGUUAAAAUGACAGAACUUUCUCUUUUACAAAUCAAAAUCAACGAUGGUUUCUAAUAUUUAGUCGACUUUAUUGACUCAAAGGUAAAUCUAGACUACUUCCUAUGCACAAUUUUUCUGAAUCGUCAAAUCGGUUCUACACAGGUUUUAAACUUUAGGCACAAUCUAUCCCAAAUGCAAGAUCCCUCCUUUCAUUUUUUAUUUAUCUAUUUUAUUUUGGGAAAAUAACUACCAGUUUUUAACUCAAAACAGCCUAGUACAGUUUCUAGCCAGGUUACAGGAAAUAAUACUUAGUUUAUCUGUUUUUUCAUUAUUCAGCGUCCCAAAAUCCAGCCAUUAACGUUAAUGGUUCUUAAAGUUGAGGCAAGACAAUUAUUGGAUUUUGUUUUAUAGCAAGAUUUAACAAAUAUUUUAUUUCCUUACUGAUUAUUUGUUAAUUUUAUGGUUUUCAUAAAGAUGAUCCUGAGAGGUUCAGAGCUGCUUUUCGCAGCACCCUGUGCUAUUUUUAGACUGCGGAACUCCUGUGUGUAAAAGUGGGUGGAGUCAGGUCCCCAGGCUGAAACUCCAGUCAUUCUCACUAGAUCUGCCCGAGAGGAAGGAUCUCCUGAAUACCCUAACCAGAAGCCUUAAGUCUCUUGAACUAAAUAACCGUCUAGCAAAAACAUGGACCGCACCCUGUUUCUCAAGCAGCUGCUCCCUCUAUUAAAAACUGAGUCAUUCAGAAGAUCCAGCGAAAGCAGCUCAUGCAAGAAGACACGCAUCCACUCAUUCACAUGGCACAGACGACAUUCUUUGUUUGUCACAGUCUUUUUUUUUUUAAAGUAAGUCAGUUCGUCACUUAUUUAUUCUCUCUCUCUAUAUAUAUAAUAUUUUAAGCACAGAAUUUAUUUAACACUGCACUGGUUAUUUUCAGAAUUUAAUGCUUACUAUGCUUUUAAGCAGGCCUUAUGUAACAUUAGAGCAAAUCCAAUUGCAAUUUUUUUGAGAGCGCUCUGAGGAAUAGUUUAUAUAUUUAUUUUCUGCAGAUCUGUUUUGAUUUUACUGUUUAGCAGCUAUAUGACUAUAUUUCUAAAAUAAAGCUGUCAUUUACAUCCUUA